UGUGGCAGGAUAAGUGAUUUGGCUGUCCUAUUGGUUCUGCUUGGGAUAGGGUCUCGGCAGACCAAUAGGAUGAGAGCUACCCGAUUAUUUAAGGACCCUUAUUUUGGUAAGCAGAUAGGUGUCUUAGUGAUUCCGAGUCCCUCGCUCCCCUGGCAUGUCUGGUUCCCACUUCCAUUCAGUCUUAGAGCGGCGCUGGUGGCACGUGCAUUGAGGCGAAUUGGCGCUGGAGAUUGCGUAAAGUGAUCGCAACAUUUAGCCGGUGGCUGAAUGAUGUGUGUGUGUGUAUGUCGAGCCGCGGUACCUGUGAGUAAUCAUACAACUUCGCGUGUGGUGGUUGUUCAAUCUAAUGGAGCCAGAGAGACUUGGUGGGACAGGGGAGGCUAGAUGUAUUUAUUCGGUGGUGUGUGCUUCACAGCGUGCUCAGUGUGCCAACACAACAUCUUCCUUAUUGUGUAGGUAGUGUGUGAUUUUGGUGUGACUUGCAGUGGGUUUGGAUGACCUCCCAAGCUGUAGCUGGCCUGCCUUGUCUCUGCCAAGCCUGGGCCUGGAGAAGUUCUUAGUUUUUAGAAUACUUGCUGUGCUUCAUGUGAAAAGUGAUUUUAUAUUUUCAUGUCAAGUUUUAAAUGA